rnacentral:rRNA from 1 species
AUACAGAGGGUGCAAGCGUUAAUCGGAUUUACUGGGCGUAAAGCGCGCGUAGGCGGCUAAUUAAGUCAAAUGUGAAAUCCCCGAGCUUAACUUGGGAAUUGCAUUCGAUACUGGUUAGCUAGAGUGUGGGAGAGGAUGGUAGAAUUCCAGGCGUAGCGGUGAAAUGCGUAGAGAUCUGGAGGAAUACCGAUGGCGAAGGCAGCCAUCUGGCCUAACACUGACGCUGAGGUGCGAAAGCGUGGGGAGCAAACAGGAUUAGAAACCCUGGUAGUCC